GAGGGGCAGCAUUUUAGUUUGCUUGCAAACUGGAGAUGGCGACCGGCGCACGGGUGAGUAACACGUAUCCAACCUGCCGAUAACUCCGGAAUAGCCUUUCGAAAGAAAGAUUAAUACCGGAUAGCAUACGAAUAUCGCAUGAUAUUUUUAUUAAAGAAUUUCGGUUAUCGAUGGGGAUGCGUUCCAUUAGUUUGUUGGCGGGGUAACGGCCCACCAAGACUACGAUGGAUACGGGUUCUGAGAGGAAGGUCCCCCACAUUGGAACUGAGACACGGUCCAAACUCCUACGGGAGGCAGCAGUGAGGAAUAUUGGUCAAUGGGCGAGAGCCUGAACCAGCCAAGUAGCGUGAAGGAUGAAGGCUCUAUGGGUCGUAAACUUCUUUUAUAUGGGAAUAAAGUUUUCCACGUGUGGAAUUUUGUAUGUACCAUAUGACUAAGGAUCGGCUAACUCCGUGCCAGCAGCCGCGGUAAUACGGAGGAUCCGAGCGUUAUCCGGAUUUAUUGGGUUUACAGGGAGCGUAUGGUGGAUUGUUAAGUCAGUUGUGAAAGUUUGCGGCUCAACCGUAAAAUUGCAGUUGAAACUGGCAGUCUUGAGUACAGUAGAGGUGGGCGGAAUUCGUGGUGUAGCGGUGAAAUGCUUAGAUAUCACGAAGAACUCCGAUUGCGAAGGCAGCUCACUAGACUG
rnacentral:rRNA from 1 species